rnacentral:rRNA from 1 species
GGUGAACGCUGGCGGCGUGCUUAAGACAUGCAAGUCGAACGGCAGUCUUCGGACUGUAGUGGCGCACGGGUGAGUAACGCGUAACUGACCUACCCCAAAGUCGCGGAUAACGAUUCGAAAGAAUCGCUAAUACGUGAUGUGCUGUCAGAUUGUGUUCUGCCAGUAAAGAUUGAUUGCUUUGGGAUGGGGUUGCGUUCCAUCAGCUAGUUGGUGGGGUAAAGGCCCACCAAGGCGACGACGGAUAGCCGGCCUGAGAGGGUGGCCGGCCACAGGGGCACUGAGACACGGGUCCCACUCCUACGGGAGGCAGCUGUUAGGAAUCUUCCACAAUGGGCGAAAGCCUGAUGGAGCGACGCCGCGUGAGGGAUGAAGGUCUUCGGAUCGUAAACCUCUGAAUCAGGGACGAAAGACACUUCGGUGGGAUGACGGUACCUGUGUAAUAGCACCGGCUAACUCCGUGCCAGCCGCCGCGGUAAAAC